rnacentral:rRNA from 1 species
UACGGAGGAUGCAAGCGUUAUUCGGAUUUAUUGGGUUUAAAGGGUGCGUAGGUGGCCUGUUAAGUCAGGGGUGAAAGACGGUAGCUCAACUAUCGCAGUGCCCUUGAUACUGAUGGGCUUGAAUGAACUAGAGGUAGGCGGAAUGUGACAAGUAGCGGUGAAAUGCAUAGAUAUGUCACAGAGCACCAAUUGCGAAGGCAGCUUACUAGGGUUUAAUUGACACUGAGGCACGAAAGCGUGGGGAGCAAACAGG